GAAGACUUAUUGGGGGACAGGAAGUAGGAAAAGUGAAGGAGCUAAACGAGGCACACCUGGGAGCAGGAGCAGGAGGAGGAGUCGUCAAUAAACAAAGAGAGCAUGGAGCUGAGUGAAAGUGAAGAGAUCAAUUUGAACCUAAAUAAGGAAGACACCCAAAAAUAAAGUAAAAUGGCCUGUACUGAAGAUGGUAUGCUGGGAUACAUAUUUGUUAAAAGGAAAUAUGCAACCUCCUGACCGGUGUUCACUGGACAAACAGAGGAUGAAGCCUUGCUGUUGUUACCCGGGGUUAUUUGGAUUCUUUCUCAACAGGCUGCUUCACCAGGUCAGUCCUUUGACAGAAAACAGUGGCAAGAGGUUUAGAGUCAGCAGGUAGAUGGAUGCAAGGCUCUCAUGCAUGUAGCA